AGAGUUUGAUCCUGGCUCAGGAUGAACGCUAGCUACAGGCUUAACACAUGCAAGUCGAGGGGAAACGACAUCGAAAGCUUGCUUUUGAUGGGCGUCGACCGGCGCACGGGUGAGUAACGCGUAUCCAACCUGCCCACCACUUGGGGAUAACCUUGCGAAAGUAAGACUAAUACCCAAUGACGUCUCUAGAAGACAUCUGAAAGAGAUUAAAGAUUUAUCGGUGAUGGAUGGGGAUGCGUCUGAUUAGCUUGUUGGCGGGGUAACGGCCACCAAGGCGACGAUCGAGUAGGGGUUCUGAGACGGAAGGUCCCCCACAUUGGAACUGAGACACGGUCCAAACGUCCGUACGGAGGCA
rnacentral:rRNA from 1 species